GACGAACGCUGGCGGCGUGCCUAACACAUGCAAGUCGAACGGACGAUCUUUGGAACGGGGCUUCGGUUUCGGGAAGAGGAGAGUUAGUGGCGGACGGGUGAGUAACACGUGGAUAAUCUGCCCAUAAGUUUGGGAUAACACUCCGAAAGGGGUGCUAAUACCGGAUAAUGUCACUGAGUCGCAUGGCUUGGUGAAGAAAGGGGCAACCCGCUUAUGGAUGAGUCCGCGGCCCAUUAGCUAGUUGGUGAGGGUAAAGGCCCACCAAGGCAACGAUGGGUAGCCGGCCUGAGAGGGUGACCGGCCACACUGGGACUGAGACACGGCCCAGACUCCUACGGGAGGCAGCAGUGGGGAAUAUUCCGCAAUGGGCGAAAGCCUGACGGAGCGACGCCGCGUGGGUGAAGAAGGCCUUCGGGUUGUAAAGCCUGUCAAGUGGGACGAGCAAGGACGGUACCACGUAGAGGAAGCCCCGGCUAACUACGUG
rnacentral:rRNA from 1 species